rnacentral:rRNA from 1 species
UUAAAUUAGAAGUUUGAUCAUGGCUCAGGUGAACGCUGGCAGCAGGCUAACACAUACAAGUCCGAACGGUAACAGGAAGCAGCUUGCUGUAGCGCUUCGCUGACAGUGGCGAGACGGGUAGUAAUGUCACAGAGCACUUUGCCUGAUGGAGGGGAGAUAACUACCUGGAAACGGUGGCUAAUACGCACUUAACGUCGCGAACCAAAGAAGGACCUUCAGGCCUCUUGCCAUCAGAUAAUGCCCAGAUAGGAUUAAACAUUUGGUAAAGGUAACGCUCGCAAAGCGACAAUCGCUGAGUCUGAAGGAGAUGACCAGCCACACUGGAACUGAGACGUUACAGUCGAACUCCUACGGGAGGAGGCAGCAGUGGGGAAUAUUGCACAAUAGGCGCAAGCCUGAUGCACAGCCAUGCCGCGUGUAUGAAAGGCCUUCAGGUUGUAAAGGCACUCAGCGGGGAGGGCGUUUGUGAAGUUAAUAACCGCAGCAAUUGGCAUUACCACAGAAGCUUUUCAGCUAACUCCGUACCCAGCAGCCGCGGUAAUACGGAGAAGUGCAAGCGUUAAUCGGAAUUACUGGGCGUAAAGCGCACGCAGGCGGUGUCAAGUCGGAUGUAUGAAAUCCCCGGGCUCGAAAGCACAGGAACUGCAUUCGAAACUGGCAGGCGAGUCUUGUAGAGGUAGAAUUCAGUGUAGCGGUGAAGUACGUAGAGAUCUGGAGGAAUACCGGUAGCGAGGCGGCCUACGGACAAGACUGACGCUCAGGUGCGAAAGGCGUGGGAGCAAGAAGCAGGAUUAGAUACACAGUGAGGUCACGCCGUAAACGAUGUCUGCGCGGAGGUUGUGCCUUGAGGCGUGAAGCACCGGAGCUAACGCGUUAAGUAGACCGCACAGGGAGUACGGCCGCAAGGUUAAAACUCAAAUGGGUGGCAGGGCCCACGCACGGCAGUGGUGGAGCAUGUGGUUUUAAUUCAGUACAGCACUUGAGACAUACACAGAGAUGUAUUGACAUCCACGGAAGUUUCAGAGGAUGAGGAAGUAUUGGCCGGGAACCGUGAGACCCAGGUGCUGCAUGAAACAUCGUCAGCUCGUGUUGUGAAAUGUUAGGUUAAGUCCCGCAAUGACGCAACCCUUGUAUCCUUUGUUGCCAGCGGUCCGGCCGGGAACUCAAGGGAGACUGCCAGUGAUAAACUGGAGGAAGGUAGGGAUGACGUCAAGUCAUGUAAGCGGCCCGCUUGACGGGGAGCUACACAUUGCUACAACCAAGCGCAUACAAAAGAGAAGCGACCUCGCGAGAGCAAGCGGACCUCAUAAAAGUGCGUCGUAGUCAGUUGGAGUCUGCAACUCGACUCCAUGAAGUCGGAAUCGCUAGCCAAUCGUGGAUCAGAAUGCCGCAGUGAAUACAUGGGCCUUGUACACACCGCCCGUCACACCGCCCAGGAGUGAGUUGCAAAAGAAGUAGGCCAAGCAACCUUCAGGGAGGCGCUUACCACUUUGUGAUUCAUGACUGGGAGUGAAAUCGUAACAAAGGUAACCGUAGAACCUGCGGAUUUGGAUCACCUCCUUA